rnacentral:rRNA from 1 species
UGGAAACGGUAGCUAAUACCGCAUAACGUCGCAAGACCAAAGUGGGGGACCUUCGGGCCUCACACCAUCGGAUGUGCCCAGAUGGGAUUAGCUAGUAGGUGGGGUAAUGGCUCACCUAGGCGACGAUCCCUAGCUGGUCUGAGAGGAUGACCAGCCACACUGGAACUGAGACACGGUCCAGACUCCUACGGGAGGCAGCAGUGGGGAAUAUUGCACAAUGGGCGCAAGCCUGAUGCAGCCAUGCCGCGUGUAUGAAGAAGGCCUUCGGGUUGUAAAGUACUUUCAGCGGGGAGGAAGGCGGUGAGGUUAAUAACCUCACCGAUUGACGUUACCCGCAGAAGAAGCACCGGCUAACUCCGUGCCAGCAGCCGCGGUAAUACGGAGGGUGCAAGCGUUAAUCGGAAUUACUGGGCGUAAAGCGCACGCAGGCGGUCUGUCAAGUCGGAUGUGAAAUCCCCGGGCUUAACCUGGGAACUGCAUUCGAAACUGGCAGGCUAGAGUCUUGUAGAGGGGGGUAGAAUUCCAGGUGUAGCGGUGAAAUGCGUAGAGAUCUGGAGGAAUACCGGUGGCGA